rnacentral:tRNA from 1 species
UUCUGGUUGGCUCAUUUGGAAGAGCAUAUGACUCUUGAUUUUGGGGUCAUGAGUUCAAGCCCCAUAUUGGAUG